AUUUGAAGAUGGAGGAAGGAACGAAGAUCCAAGAUAUAAAGGUAACCUCUAGAAGCUGGAGAGGAAGGAAAUAGAUUUUCCCAUAGAGCCUCCAAAGGAAUGCAACUGCACCAGCACCUUGAUUUCAUCUAACCUCCAAAAUGAGCAUGCAUUCCGAUAUUUUCCUGGCCGAUCACUAUAGUAACUGGGAGAGAGUCCGCAUCCUGAAGGAGCUCAGAGGACAUGAAAGCAGAAGCCUGAGAAGCAAGAGCCUACACAGAAGAAAGGAAGAUCUGAGAAACAUUUGAAAUUAAAAUAGUGUCCUUCAAUCAACUAUGCGUGAGGCCAUACCAAUUCUAUUGACCAUGAAUAUGUGAAGAUAAAUUUGACAAAGCCAUUGACAAAUGUGCAGAAGUGAAGGCUUAUAGCAGAAAGCACAGUGGAGUUAUUCAUCACCAUCACCAUGGGGACCAAAAUAUUGGGGUUCUGUUUUACCUUGCUGAUUCAUUGCUGUGGAUUCUUUUAUAUUUUUAUUUUUCCC